rnacentral:rRNA from 1 species
AGCAGCCGCGGUAAUUCCAGCUCCAAUAGCGUAUAUUAAAGUUGUUGCAGUUAAAAAGCUCGUAGUUGAAUUUCGGGGUCAGUAGGUUGGUCGUGCCACUGGUAUGUACUGGUCUCACUGAUUCCUCCUUCCUGAUGAGCUGUAAUGCCAUUAAUUUGGUGUUGCAGGGAAUCUGGACUGUUACUUUGAAAAAUUGGAGUGUUUAAAGCAGGCUAACGCUUGAAUACAUUAGCAUGGAAUAAUGAAAUAGGACGUUCGAAUCCUAUUUUGUUAGGUUUCUAGGAUUGACGUAAUGAUUAAUAGGGAUAGUUGGGGCUAUUAGUAUUCAAUUGUC